UCCCAUUCAUCACUAAAGUCAUAAAACAUGGAGAAAAAUGAAUAGCAAGUGAAGAGGACAAAAUUUUGUCAAGUUAAAUUGCUGAGUUCUUUGCUGAAUAUGAAAAGUGAAUGAUAAGUUUCAGCAAUUAUAUUGUGUAAAAUGGGGAAUCAACCGUAACGUACACUGAAAAACUUGAAAAGUAGGAAUUGUGUGAAGCAUCCUGCAACUGCCUUUUUCCUUCUUUCUCCUUGACUUUGUUCCUCGGGUCACACUAGGACUCAAUAACCCUUAAUAUUUACCCUUUUUUUUUUUCCUAGAUAUUCAUUUUCCAAUUAUCAUAUUUAAUUCAAAUUAUGCUGCAUAAUUUAAAGAAAGCUGAAAAAGCUAUUUUCUCUUGUUCAAGAAAAAGAAAAGAAAAAUCGUAGCUCAUGUUCAUACUCUGCAACCUGCAAAUUACAAUUAGCUGCGGCCUCUAGCUAGGAAAAUGCAUACCGAAUCUCGAAUGAACUAUACAAUAGAGAAAUAGGAAAAUCCUAGCUAUAAUUGUUUUGUGGGUUUUCGCCUUUGUCAAGGCAAGAACCCACCGGCACCGCCAAUAUUAUGCCUUUGAUCGUUGUUAUUAUUAUAGUUAACGUUACAAUUAUCUACCCUGGAUUUGGAAUCUGCCUCCGCCGCACCUCCACCGCUCGAGGUAGAUAUAGCAGGAGGAAACUGGCCGCAUUUCUGACACCUUGCCAACCCCAGGAUCUGACGGCAGGAAGGACACGACGAAUGGGACCCUAGCCACGUGUCGAUACACCCAAUAUGGAACCCAUGCCCACACUGUGGUAAAAUCCUGAUCUCAUCUUCCUCUCCAAACUCACCUAAGCAGAUUGCGCACUCCGUCGAUGCAAACUUACAAGAACCAGCAGCCGCGACGGCGCCGUACGUGAAUUUGGGGAGUGACUGAAUGAUCUUCUUCUUCAACCCCUUAUUGGCGGCGGCCUGCGACGGAGAACGAGAAGCACUGCCACCACUGCGACGGAGCCAAGCACAACGAGCCACAGCAAUGAGUCCCACAACGCAUAUCAAUGCGCAUAAAAGAGCUGCGAGUAUGACAACGAAGUCUGACUCAACAUUGACGGCCUCCGGUGGGUCAGCGGCCAGGGAAGAGUCGAAGCCAGUGAGCAUUCUUGCAUAGCGAGUCAUGGCAAAUGGUUGGAUAGCAUAAAUUGGGAGAAUUUAGCAAAGAAAGAGAGAAAAGGAGAGGAGAGAGUAGGAGAAAAAGUGGGUAAUUGGAGUCUGCGGAGGUUCUUGAAGUGGGUAUAUAUAAUAGAGAAAUGAAGAUUUAUGGAAGGUUUGGUAGGCAGUUCCAGGAUAGUUGAUGGGUUAAAAAAGUAUCAAUAGGAAAUGAGAGAGAAGAUGGUGACAAGGAAAGAAAGGCAGCAAAGUAGCAUGUACUGAUAGGAGACAGGUUCCUCUCCUCUUUAUCAUGGAUAAACAUAAAGGGACCACUCACUCUCUCUUCUUUGUUUACAAGUUGGGCCAUUUUGUCAUUUUUCACUUUCACCAUUUCCAUUUUCACAUUCUAUUUCUUACUAUUUGAUCAUUGGGAUUGGGUGACCA
rnacentral:misc_RNA from 1 species